rnacentral:sRNA from 1 species
UUUUUUGUAACCACAGAUUUGGGUUGCUCUAACCACCUUGGCAUGUUUACUGUCGUUGACGUACUCAGCACCAGUAGGAUCGUGUACAGUGAACAACUACACAUUUGACAAUGGUGCCACCUACAGUGUUCCUGAAUUUUAUGGUUGUUUACAAUACAAAUGUGUCGACGGCGUGCCAGUUUUGACGAAAGAAGGUUGUUAUGCCAACAGUGCCUGUCAGGAUGUGAACAGUCAAUGGGUAGUCAACUGCAGAACAUGGUCCU